AUGAAGAUGAAGAGGAGGAAGAAGAAGCCGAACCACAUAGCAUCCCUGACAUAUCGAAUGAUCCAGAGGAAGGAGAGAUUGAUUGAUAUCUCUUUAUUACUUUGGCCGAUCGUCAAGUUGAUGGGUGGCCGAUCGUCAAGAGUUGAUGCAAGUGUCCCCCAGCUAGGAUGCUUCAGAAGAGACCUGGUUGGCCAUGAUAGUCAGUCAUCUUAUAUUUUUAUUUGAAAUUCUUUUGCUCGUGUAUAAGUUGGUUCUCUGCUUGGGAGUGGAUAAAGGUUAGGUAAAAACAGUUUAGUUACGUAGUUUAGUACUAGAUUUGUUUAAAAGGAAAAAAAAGAUGCUAGAAGGUGCGUUGGCUUUUCUGUCCCCAAUUGUUGUGACCUGAUUCUUCCUCUCUACCCUGAAAUAAGUGGCUAUGUGAAUUGGACAAAACUAAUGAUGAAAACGUAAU
rnacentral:misc_RNA from 1 species